rnacentral:rRNA from 1 species
UACGUAGGCAGCAAGCGUUGUCCGGAAUACUGGGCGUAAAGCGUGCGCAGGCGGUUCGUUGUGUCGGCGGUGAAAGCCCCGGGCUCAACCUGGGAAUGGCCGUUGAAACUGGCGAACUGGAGUGUGGCAGAGGGGGGUGGAAUUCCGCGUGUAGCAGUGAAAUGCGUAGAGAUGCGGAGGAACACCGAUGGCGAAGGGCAGCCCCCCUGGGCUAACACUGACGCUCAGGCACGAAAGCGUGGGGAGCAAACAGG